rnacentral:misc_RNA from 1 species
ACCAAAAGCACCAACAUAUAGGCCUACACUUCAACCAAAAGGUUAUACCAUCAAUAAUAUUAAUUUCCCAACAGGUUAUACCAUCAACAAUAUUAAUUUCCUAUCAAAUAAAUCAAGAAUGCCCCCCAUGCAUAGGGGUGUAAAUGAGAUGAGCCGAGCCGAGCUUUGAAUAAUUCAAACUCGACUCGUUAUAUUUUUUUUCAAGCUCAAGCUUGGCUCGAGCUUUAACAUUCAAGUACUAAGCUCAAGCUCGAUUCGAGCUCGGCUCGUAUCAAACUCAUUUAUAAUAUAAACGAAUCAAAUUCGAACUCCGCUCAUUUAUAAUAUAAAUAAGUUAAACUCAAGCUCGAAUUCGAGCUCGACUUAAGCUCGUUAAUAUUAUUAUAUUAAAAUAAAAUUUAAUUUAAAUAAAAAUAAACUAAAAAUUAAAUUAAUUAUAAUUAAAAAUAUAUUUAAUCUUAAUUAAAAUAAAUUUAAAAUUGAAAAAAAGUACUAAGGAGCUCAUUUGGGCCCCACAUGUUGGCUUGCUUGCCAACCAACAAAAAGCAUUUAAGUUGGAGGGGAGUGGCUUCCCUUUUAUAAGGAAGCCACAACUCCCCCCACCCCUUUCUAUCCAAUGUCGAACAAGUCCCACAUU